rnacentral:tRNA from 1 species
GGGCCUGUAACUCAGACGUUUGGAGCGCUGUGCUGAUAGGGCAGGGACCCGUGGUUCGAGUCCACGCAGGCCGA